AAGUUGUUUCUUGUUGGUCUACCCAACACCGGCAAGACACGAAUGUUGACACUGGCUGGCAAACAAUGGAUAGAAAGUGGCCAUCACCUGUACAUUUUAGUCAGUAUUUGUACAAGAAGGGACUUCAUGUCCUCAUUUUCCAAAACAUCCAACCAUACGACUGCGACAAAAGAUAUAGAUGAGACUUCACGACCCUUUGUCACCCAAGUAAUCUGUAAUUUCAAUAUCAAGAAGGAAAUGAAGGAAAUUCUGGACAUGUUAACAACACAGGGCAAAAAGAAAUAUACCACUGCGUGUGAUUGCAAGUGAAGUGGACUUAGGGGGGUAAGUAUGAUUGUCUUGUUAGUAUACGGCUUAAACACAUUUUUGACACCUACCUUCUAAACAUUUUAUCAAUACAGGACAAAAAGAAUAUACCACUGUGUGUGAUUGCAAGUGAAGUUGAUUUCGGGGGAAAAUAUUUUAAAACAUUUGUAGAAAGUCUAAGUCGCCAACAUCCAAAUCUUGUAUUGUGGGCUACAAUCAGCACUAGUCAGAAUGUACCCAAUGGAUGGAAGGUACAGACCUUCACUCGGGCUCUCACCUGUCCACCUGCAGUGGUUAGAGAAGCUUAACGUGCAGGAGCUGAUUAUUUCAUACCUGAGGCUGAAAUCAAACCACGUGACUGCCUGACUCCUACAGACGGCCCACAAGUGAAGUAUAUUUAUCAUGAGAUGGACUCCACGGGUUACCACGACUGUUCUCUGUGUAGCAGGAAGGUGGCCGAUUUUCUCAACAACCAUUUUCCUACUAAAAGAAACAAAACAGCUUCCCCAGAUGAUACCACCCAAGCAACAACAUCAUCUUUAACACGAGUACAACAUGAAUCACCUACCUUGAAGGGAUCUUCCAAUCUUCAAGACAAAGACAUUUUAGUGAUAUUUGAAAACGACAAACUUGAUUACUCAUACUUGCAGGAACUAAAGAAAGUAGGUUUUCAAGUACAGCCUCGAGAGGUUAAGAAUGAAAAAGAAGUCGUGAAAGAAGAAACUGAUUGUGUCUGCUACAUGCAUGUUGAUCGUUUCCGCAAAUUUAGACUAAGACGUAAAAUCGUGGUGUACGUGGAAAGUCUGUCACCUCCUGAAAAAGUUUCCAACAAAUGGCGGGGCAUCACGUGCUGCGUGGCACAGCUGAUCGUCGUGAAAUGGAAAAGUACAUAAUUUUCUUGCUCUUCGUACAGCUUUAUCUGUUUUUUUCUUUCCACUUUACACACAUGUUCAUUUAUUCAACUUGCACUACAUCUUUCAAUUCUACGUGUAUUAAAGUUCUUUUCAAUGCUCAACCAGCUGCUUAAAAUAAAUUGCAAAAUAAUCAACAUAAAUGUUUUUACAAUAAGUACUUUAAUUGUUAAAAUGUGUGUAUGCUCUAAUAUACAAGAUAAACCUGUGUAUACGCGCAUGAGUUUAAGUAAAUUCUUUCAUAAAUAUGUAUGUUUAUGAAAAUAAAAAUGCCAAAUAAUUUAA
rnacentral:misc_RNA from 1 species